GACGAACGCUGGCGGCGCGCUUAACACAUGCAAGUCGAGCGAGAACCAGUCCUUCGGGACUGGGGACAGCGGCGAACGGGUGAGUAACACGUGAGUAAUCCACCCUCGGUACCGGAAUAGCCCGGGGAAACUCGGAUUAAUGCCGGAUGGCCCAUCCACCUCUCGAGGUGGCUGGAAAAGAUAGCUUCGGCCUUCGACCGGGGACGAGCUCGCGGCGGAUUAGCUUGUUGGCGGGGUAACGGCCCACCAAGGCGACGAUCCGUAGCUGGU
rnacentral:rRNA from 1 species